UACGUAGGGGGCAAGCGUUGUCCGGAGUCAUUGGGCGUAAAGCGCGUGUAGGCGGCCAGAAAAGUCCGCUGUGAAAACUCGAGGCUCAACUUCGAGCUGUCGGUGGAAACUUUCUGGCUAGAGUCCGGAAGAGGAGAAUGGAAUUCCUGGUGUAGCGGUGAAAUGCGCAGAUAUCAGGAAGAACACCCGUGGCGAAGGCGGCAUCCUGGACCGGCAUUGACGCUGAGGAGCGAAAGCCAGGGGAGCAAACGGG
rnacentral:rRNA from 1 species